GAUGAACGCUGGCGGCGUGCCUAAUACAUGCAAGUCGAGCGAACAGACGAGGAGCUUGCUCCUCUGACGUUAGCGGCGGACGGGUGAGUAACACGUGGAUAACCUACCUAUAAGACUGGGAUAACUUCGGGAAACCGGAGCUAAUACCGGAUAAUAUAUUGAACCGCAUGGUUCAAUAGUGAAAGACGGUUUUGCUGUCACUUAUAGAUGGAUCCGCGCCGCAUUAGCUAGUUGGUAAGGUAGCGGCUUACCAAGGCGACGAUGCGUAGCCGACCUGAGAGGGUGAUCGGCCACACUGGAACUGAGACACGGUCCAGACUCCUACGGGAAGCAGCAGUAGGGAAUCUUCCGCAAUGGGCGAAAGCCUGACGAAGCAACGCCGCGUGAGUGAUGAGGGUCUUCGGAUCGUAAAACUCUGUUAUUAGGGAAGAACAAAUGUGUAAGUAACUAUGCACGUCUUGACGGUACCUAGUCAGAAAGCCACGGCUAACUACGUG
rnacentral:rRNA from 1 species